GGGGGGCUGGCGCAACGGUAGCGCGUCAGAUUCCAGAUUUGGAAUCUCCUGAAGGUUACCCGUUCGAAUCGGGUGUCCCUCA
rnacentral:tRNA from 1 species